rnacentral:rRNA from 1 species
GGGAGGUAGUGACAAUAAAUAACAAUACAGGGUCCUUUCGGGUCUUGUAAUUGGAAUGAGUACAAUUUAAAUCUCUUAACGAGGAACAAUUGGAGGGCAAGUCUGGUGCCAGCAGCCGCGGUAAUUCCAGCUCCAAUAGCGUAUAUUAAAGUUGUUGCAGUUAAAAAGCUCGUAGUUGAAUUUCGGGAUCAAUACGUCGGUCGUGCCUCGGUACGUACUAACGUCAUUGAUUUCUCCCUUCUGACGAGCCGUGAUGUCAUUCAUUUGGUGUUACGGGGAGUCAGGACUGUUACUUUGAAAAAUUAGAGUGUUUAAAGCAAGCUAACGCUUGAAUACAUUAGCAUGGAAUAAUGAAAUAGGACGUUCGAUCCUAUUUUGUUGGUUUCUAGGAUUGACGUAAUGAUUAAUAGGGAUAGUUGGG